rnacentral:rRNA from 1 species
GCCUAAGGAUGGGUCUGCGGCCGAUUAGGUUGUUGUUGAUGUAAAGGAUCAACAAGCCUACGAUCGGUACGGGUUGUGAGAGCAAUAGCCCGGAGAUGGGUUCUGAGAAAAGAACCCAAGCCCUACGGGGCGCAUCAGGCGCGAAAACUUUACAAUGCGCGAAAGCGCGAUAAGGGGACUCCGAGUGCCUCCUAAAGAGGCUGUUCAGGUGCCUAAAAAGCACCUGAAGGAAGGGCUGGGUAAGACCGGUGCCAGCCGCCGCGGUAACACCGGCAGCCCAAGUGGUAGCCACUUUUAUUGGGUCUAAAGCAUUCGUAGCCGGCUAAGUAAGUCUUUUGGGAAAUCUGGCUGCUUAACAGUCAGACUUCCAGAGGAUACUGCUUUGCUUGGGACCGGAAGAGGUCAGAGGUACUCCAGGGGUAGGGGUGAAAUCCUUUAAUCCUUGGGGGACCACCCGUAGCGAAGGCGUCUGACCAGAACGGGUUCGACGGUGAGGGAUGAAAGCUAGGGGCGCGAACCGGAUUAGAUACCCGGGUAGUCCUAGCCGUAAACGAUGCGGGCUAGAUGUUGGCAUCACUGCGGGUGGUGCCAGUGUCGAAGGGAAGCCGUUAAGCCUGCCAUCUGGGGAGUACGGCCGCAAGGCUGAAACUUA